AUGUUUGGCGGAGUUGAGCGGAUGCUUCGGGAAGUCAGGCAUGUGUCAGGGCUAAGGAGGAAUCUAAUUUUGCUUGGUGUUCUUCAUGAUGGUGGUAUGGUAUUCCGUUGUGAUCGGGAUACGAAGACCAUGAGAAUCAUGGAAGAUGAGGUGAUCGUGAUGAUUGGAGGGAGGACGGCUUCGUCUUUACAAGUUGCAAGGGAGCACUAUUGCAGGUGGAGUCACGAAGACUGGAGUUGUAGGAGUAGCAGCAGGGUCUCACGGCGGCGGUGGGUCUGGGGCAGACUCGUCGAGGAGCUCUCAGUAAGCUACAAAGAAGACAACACAAGUCCGGAGUACAUGGAAGUUUGA
rnacentral:rRNA from 1 species